UACGUAGGGAGCUAGCGUUGUCCGGAAUUAUUGGGCGUAAAGCGCGUGUAGGUGGCCAAGUAGGUCCGCUGUGAAAACUUGAGGCUCAACCUCAAGCUGUCGGUGGAAACCCCUUGGCUAGAGUCCGGAAGAGGAGAGUGGAAUUCCUGGUGUAGCGGUGAAAUGCGCAGAUAUCAGGAAGAACACCAAUGGCGAAGGCAGCUCUCUGGGACGGUACUGACACUGAGACGCGAAAGCGUGGGGAGCGAACAGG
rnacentral:rRNA from 1 species